rnacentral:rRNA from 1 species
UACGAAGGGUGCAAGCGUUAAUCGGAAUUACUGGGCGUAAAGCGUGCGUAGGCGGUUGGCUAAGUCAGAUGUGAAAGCCCUGGGCUCAACCUGGGAAUGGCAUUUGAAACUGGCGGGCUAGAGUGUGAUAGAGGAUGGCGGAAUUCCCGGUGUAGCGGUGAAAUGCGUAGAGAUCGGGAGGAACAUCCGUGGCGAAGGCGGCCAUCUGGAUCAACACUGACGCUGAGGCACGAAAGCGUGGGGAGCAAACAGG